rnacentral:rRNA from 1 species
UACGGAGGUGGCAGGCGUUACUCGGAUUGAUUGGGUGUAAAGGGUGCGUAGGCGGUGAGUUAAGUCGAACGUGAAAUCCCAUGGCUCAACCAUGGAACUGCGUUCGAUACUGACUUGCUUGAGUGACAGAGAGGUAGAUGGAAUUCCCGGUGUAACAGUGAAAUGUGUAGAUAUCGGGAGGAACACCAGUGGCGAAGGCGAUCUACUGGCUGUCCACUGACGCUGAAGCACGAGAGCAUGGGGAGCAAACAGG